rnacentral:misc_RNA from 1 species
GAUGAAGAACGCAGCGAAAUGCGAUAAGUAAUGUGAAUUGCGGAAUUCAGUGAAUCAUCGAAUCUUUGAACGCACAUUGCGCCCCCCAGUAUUCUGGCGGGCAUGCCUGUUCGAGCGUCAUUUCAACCAUCAAGCCCUGCUUGUGUUGGGGUCCUGCGGCUGCCCGCAGGCCCUGAAAACCAGUGGCGGGCUCGCUAGUCACACCGAGCGCAGUAGCACAUCUCGCUCAGGGCGUGCGGCGGGCUCCAGCCGUUAAAGCACCCACCUUUCGCAAGGUUGACCUCGGAUCAGGUAGGAAUACCCGCUGAACUUAAGCAUAUCAAUAAGCGGAGGA